GCCAAGAAAAGCCACUAAGUUUAUUAUAUGUUGCCCGUACCGUAAACCGACACAGGUGGGUGGGAUGAGUAUUCUAAGGCGCGUGGAAGAACCCUCUUUAAGGAACUCUGCAAAAUAGCACCGUAUCUUCGGUAUAAGGUGUGCCUACUUUGGUAUAUGAACUUGCUUCAAAAAGCUAGAGAGGUUGCAACAAAGAGUCCCUCCCGACUGUUUACCAAAAACACAGCACUUUGCUAACACGUAAGUGGAUGUAUAAGGUGUGACGCCUGCCCGGUGCUCGAAGGUUAAUUGAUGAUGUC
rnacentral:rRNA from 1 species